rnacentral:rRNA from 1 species
UGGGGAAUAUUGGGGCAAAUGGGACGCAAGUCUGACCCAGCAACGCCGCGUGAAGGAAGAAGGCUUUCGGGUUGUAAACUUCUUUUAAGAGGGAACAGAAGAAGAGGGUACCUCUUGAAUAAGCCACGGCUAACUACGUGCCAGCAGCCGCGGUAAUACGUAGGUGGCAAGCGUUGUCCGGAUUUACUGGGUGUAAAGGGUGCGUAGGCUGUAAGUCAAGUCAGCGGUGAAAAGUCGGGGCUAAACCUUGAGGGUGCCGUUGAAACUGAUUUACUAGAAUGUGGAUGAUGCCGGCGGAAUGUGUCAAGUAGCGGUGAAAUGCAUAGAUAUGACACAGAAGGCCGAUUGCGAAGGCAGCUGGCAAAGGCACGAUUGACGCUGAGGCACGAAAGUGCGGGGAUCGAACAGGAUUAGAUACCCUGGUAGU